UUAAACCUCUUCCAGAGUAUCAAUUGGAGGGCAAGUCUGGUGCCAGCAGCCGCGGUAAUUCCAGCUCCAAUAGCGUAUAUUAAAAUUGUUGCAGUUAAAAAGCUCGUAGUUGAAUUUCUGCUGCAUUGCAUCUUCUUUUUGAUGAGUUGGUGUAUUGUGGCUUAUUUCGGAUGAUACUUGUAUUAUCCGGAUGAUUACUUUGAGAAAAUUAGAGUGCUCAAAGCAGGCUUUUGCCUUGAAUAGUUUAGCAUGGAAUAAUAAAGUAGGACUUUGGUUCUAUUUUGUUGGUUUUAGGUACCAAAGUAAUGGUUAAUAGGAACAGUUGGGGGCAUUCGUAU
rnacentral:rRNA from 1 species